rnacentral:rRNA from 1 species
UUCCGGUUGAUCCUGCCGGACCCGACUGCUAUUUGGGUGAGAAUAAGCCAUGCGAGUUGAAUGGGAUACCUAAAGUUCCCAUAGCAAACUGCUCAGUAACACAUGAUCAACUUACCCUAUAGAGAAAAAUAACCUCGGGAAACUGAGGAUAAUGUUUCAUAAUUGAAUUGGCUUGGAAAAGUUUUUCAAUGAAAAGGAUAAAAAAAAUGGUUUUUAUCUGCUAUAGGAUAGGAUCGUGUUCGAUUAUGGUUGUUGGUGAGAUAAUGGCUCACCAAGCCGAUAAUCGAUAGGGGCCGUGAGAGCGGGAGCCCCGAGAUGGGUACUGAGACAACGACCCAGGCCUUACGAGGCGCAGCAGGCGCGGAACCUCCGCAAUACACGAAAGUGUGACGGGGUUACCCAAAGUGUUCAAUAGAACUGUGGUAGGUGAGUAAUGUUCCCUACUAGAAAGGAGAGGGCAAGGCUGGUGCCAGCCGCCGCGGUAAAACCAGCUCUUCAAGUGGUCGGGAUAAUUAUUGGGCUUAAAGUGUCCGUAGCCGGUUUAGUAAGUUCCUGGUAAAAUCGGGUAGCUUAACUAUCUGCAUGCUAGGAAUACUGCUAUACUAGAGGGCGGGAGAGGUCUGAGGUACUACAGGGGUAGGGGUGAAAUCUUAUAAUCCUUGUAGGACCACCAGUGGCGAAGGCGUCAGACUGGAACGCGCCUGACGGUGAGGGACGAAAGCCAGGGGAGCGAACCGGAUUAGAUACCCGGGUAGUCCUGGCCGUAAACGAUGCAUACUAGGUGAUGGUACGGCCAUGAGCCGUAUCAGUGCCGUAGGGAAACCGUUAAGUGUGCCGCCUGGGAAGUACGGUCGCAAGGCUAAAACUUAAAGGAAUUGGCGGGGGAGCACCACAAGGGGUGAAGCCUGCGGUUCAAUUGGAUUCAACGCCGGGAAUCACUAGUGCGGCCG